UCGCCUCGCCCAAUCCCCUGACACCAUGCUCCCAUCCGCCCGCGGCAGGCUGCUCUCGUCGCUGCGCCGCUGCCGCCGGCGCAUCCCCCCGACCGAGUCCCGGCCGGAAUCGAGGCUGGCGGUGCCGGCCUCAUCUCGCUGCCGCCAUUGCGAUUCGUAGCACUGCCGCUGCGAUUCGUGCAUCCUCCGGGACCUGCUGGUGCUCCUCCCAGUUCCCCGCAGCCGCGAGCUUCAAUUCGCCGGCUGUUGCGGUCGCUGCUGCGGGCUGUGCCGCCGCCGCCAGAGGAGUCCCUGCCGCAUAUGAGUCUUCUAUGUCUUGCGGCGCCGCGCGCGAGAGCAGCGAGCAGGGAGCGCGAGAGGCGCACGGGAAGGCGAGCAUCGCUGGCGCACGCAAGGGGCGGGGUCUUUCUUGGUGUUGGCGUCGACUGUACAGAUGAGAAGGGGAAGAAGAUGAAGAAGGGUAAGCACAUGAAGGAGAAAAGGGCUCGUGUUAGAUGCUUCUAUCUCUAAAACUGAAUUUAGGAAACCAGCUCAGAGAAUCCGUUGAAGAUGCUCUUACUCCUCCGUUCCCCUCCCUGACCAUAUCCAUCUUUUUCACAUAUUUUGACAACCAUCGUGUGCCUGCGCCGUGGCAGCGCACGGGCAUUCUGCUAGUUCAAAAAAAUAUGCAAAGACCGGUCGGCGUUCGUUCCUAGCAGGUUUAUCACCGACAAUAUCAUUUGCCUUGUUUCUUUGUUAACUGAUCCAAGGUGUUGAGAAAGAUAUCAUUACCAAGGAAGGCUUUUGAGUAUUUAAUUCUACAUUUGUUUCGUAA